GGGUGUGAUCAUACCAUCAUUAAUGCAUUAGAUCCCAUCAGAAUUAUGCAGUUAAGAGCACUUGCGCUAGAGUAUUAUUAGGAUGGGUGAUGUCCUGGGAAGUCCUAAUGUUUCACCAU
rnacentral:rRNA from 1 species